UUUUGGGUAUCCAUGCUAAAUAUUGGCACCACACUUCGUAUUGCUCCAACACUUUUUGCCAUAUUGCUUCAAGUUAAUGAGUGACUGAAUAUUUCAGUAUCUUGCAGCAUUUUUUCUGCAAACAAUUUUAACAGCACAAUACCAGAAACAUUUGGCAACUUAAAGAACUUGGUGGAUUUUAGGAUAGAUGGGAGCAGAAUAUCAGGGAAAAUGCCUGAUUUUAUAGGGAAUUGGACGGAACUUAAUAGACUCUGAGUAUUGUACUUCAUUCCUUUUAUCUGUCAGCUUUUCCCUCUUUGAUAUAUGAAUUUGAAUUUUUUCUUUUAUCUUUUUUUAUUAUCUAAGAACUCUGUUUGCAGUGAUAUGCAAGGCACGUCCAUGGAGGGUCCCAUCCCUUCUAACAUAUCCCGUUUGACAAACUUAAUUGAACUGAGGAUAUCUGAUUUGCAAGGAUCAAGUAUUGGAUUCCCUGAUUUGCAAAAUUUGAAAUAUUUGU